AUUGAACGCUGGCGGCAGGCCUAACACAUGCAAGUCGAACGAGUGGCGGACGGGUGAGUAAUGUCUGGGAAACUGCCUGAUGGAGGGGGAUAACUACUGGAAACGGUAGCUAAUACCGCAUACCAUCGGAUGUGCCCAGAUGGGAUUAGCUAGUGGGUGGGGUAAAGGCUCACCUAGGCGCCGAUCCCUAGCUGGGCUGAGAGGAUGACCAGCAACACUGGAACUGAGACACGGUGCAGAGUCCGACGGGAGGCAGCAGUGGGGAAUAUUGCACAAUGGGCGCAAGCCUGAUGCAGCCAUGCCGCGUGUAUGAAGAAGGCCUUCGGGUUGUAAAGUACGUUCAGCGGGGAGGCGUUACCCGCAGAAGAAGCAACGGCUAACUCCGGGCCAGCAGCCGCGGUAAUAC
rnacentral:rRNA from 1 species